AGUUUUUCCAUCUUUGUUCAUCAUAGCUGAAAGUUAGAGAAGAGAAAGGAGAGGAGAAAGCUCUUGAGUAUUUGGUCAUUAGGAGGAGGAAAAUUGAAGGCGGUUCGUAUGUGGAUCUCGUCAGCAUAUCGUCGCAAACAGGAAAUCCCCAACUAUAGUGGGCUUGGAGCUGUAAGAGAAUUUGAAGUGGCCACCCGUUCUGAAAGUUUGAUUUUCUUCUGGUGAACUGGACAUCCUUUUAAUUACGUUUGAGGUUUUGGGCUUUUAAAUGUAAUAAGGCCGCU